GGUCGGGUGGCCGAGUGUCAGGCAAGGGUCCGCAAGAUUCUAUACGGUGGUUCGAAUCCAUCCCCGACCU
rfam:Mariniradius saccharolyticus AK6 contig2, whole genome shotgun sequence.